UGAGAGGAUGAUCAGUCACACUGGAACUGAGACACGGUCCAGACUCCUACGGGAGGCAGCAGUGGGGAAUAUUGCACAAUGGACGAAAGUCUGAUGCAGCAACGCCGCGUGGAGGAUGACACAUUUCGGUGCGUAAACUCCUUUUAUAUAGGAAGAUAAUGACGGUACUAUAUGAAUAAGCACCGGCUAACUCCGUGCCAGCAGCCGCGGUAAUACGGAGGGUGCAAGCGUUACUCGGAAUUACUGGGCGUAAAGAGCGUGUAGGCGGGUAAAUAAGUUGGAAGUGAAAUCCUAUGGCUCAACCAUAGAACUGCUUCCAAAACUGUUAACCUAGAAUGUGGGAGAGGUAGAUGGAAUUUCUGGUGUAGGGGUAAAAUCCGUAGAUAUCAGAAGGAAUACCGAUUGCGAAGGCGAUCUACUGGAACAUAAUUGACGCUGAGACGCGAAAGCGUGGGGAGCAAACAGGAUUAGAUACCCUGGUAGUCCACGCCCUAAACGAUGUACACUAGUUGUUGUGAGGCUAGACCUUGCAGUAAUGCAGUUAACACAUUAAGUGUACCGCCUGGGGAGUACGGUCGCAAGAUUAAAACUCAAAGGAAUAGACGGGGACCCGCACAAGCGGUGGAGCAUGUGGUUUAAUUCGACAAUACGCGAAGAACCUUACCUGGUCUUGACAUAGAAAGAACUUUCCAGAGAUGGAUUGGUGCCUGCUUGCAGGAGCUUUCAUACAGGUGCUGCACGGCUGUCGUCAGCUCGUGUCGUGAGAUGUUGGGUUAAGUCCCGCAACGAGCGCAACCCUCGUCGUUAGUUGCUAACAGUUUGGCUGAGAACUCUAACGAGACUGCCUACGCAAGUAGGAGGAAGGUGAGGACGACGUCAAGUCAUCAUGGCCCUUACGACCAGGGCUACACACGUGCUACAAUGGGGUAUACAAAGAGCAGCGAUACGGUGACGUGGGGCGAAUCUCAAAAAUGCCUCCCAGUUCGGAUAGUAGUCUGCAACUCGACUACUUGAAGUUGGAAUCGCUAGUAAUCGUAGAUCAGCUAUGCUACGGUGAAUACGUUCCCGGGUCUUGUACUCACCGCCCGUCACACCAUGGGAGUUGAAUUCAUUCGAAGCGGGGAUGCUAAAAUAGCUACCUUCCACAGUGGAUUUAGCGACUGGGGUGAAGUCGUAACAAGGUAACCGUAGGAGAACCUGCGGUUG
rnacentral:rRNA from 1 species